GGGAAUCUGCCUUUUGGUUUGGAAUAACACGGGGAAACCUGUGCUAAUACCGGAUAAGCCUUUACAGGGAAAGUUUUAACGCCGAAAGAUGAGCCUGCACUUGAUUAGCUAGUUGGUAAGGUAAAAGCUUACCAAGGCAACGAUCAAUAGCUGUUCUUAGAGGAAGACCAGCCACAUUGGGACUGAGACACGGCCCAGACUCCUACGGGAGGCAGCAGUGGGGAAUCUUGCACAAUGGGGGAAACCCUGAUGCAACGAUGCCGCGUGAGUGAAGAAGGCCCUUGGGUUGUAAAACUCUUUCGUCGGGG
rnacentral:rRNA from 1 species